rnacentral:snoRNA from 1 species
CACCUCUCAGGGUAAGAUCUGGAGAGUUUCCAGUACUCUACCAGUCUCGACUGUGGGAGGGAGAGUCAAGAAGAGGCCUAUCCAUUCCAUUCCUAGCUUGGGCAGUGGCUAGCGGGUAGAAGGCAAUCUGCUACAAGU